GACGUAGGAGGCGAGCGUUGUUCGGAUUCAUUGGGCGUAAAGGGUGUGUAGGUGGCGCCGUAAGUCGGGUGUGAAAUCUCGGGGCUUAACUCCGAAACUGCAUUCGAUACUGCGGUGCUUGAGGACUGGAGAGGAGACUGGAAUUCAUGGUGUAGCAGUGAAAUGCGUAGAGAUCAUGAGGAAGACCAGUGGCGAAGGCGGGUCUCUGGACAGUUCCUGACACUGAGACACGAAGGCCAGGGGAGCAAACGGG
rnacentral:rRNA from 1 species